rnacentral:SRP_RNA from 2 species
GCCGGGUGUGGUGGCACACACCUGUAAUCCCAGCUACUAGGGAGGCUGAGGCAGGAGAAUCGCUCGAAUCCAGGAGGCGGAGGUUACAGUGAGCUGAGAUCGCACCACUGCACUCCAGCCUGGGCAACAGAGUGAGACUCUGUCUCAA